GAUGAACGCUGGCGGCGUGCCUAAUACAUGCAAGUCGAGCGAACAGAUGAGGAGCUUGCUCAUCUGACGUUAGAGGCGGACGGGUGAGUAACACGUGGAUAACCUACCUAUAAGACUGGGAUAACUUCGGGAAACCGGUGCUAAAACCGGAUAUUAUAUUGAACCGCAUGGUUCAAUAGUGAAAGACGGUUUUGCUGUCACUUAUAGAUGGAACCGCGCAGCAUUAGCUAGUUGGUAAGGUAACGGCUUACCAAGGCAACGAUGCGUAGCCGACCUGAGAGGGUUGUCGGCCACACUGUAACUGAGACACGGUCCAGACUCCUACGGUAGGCAGCAGUAGAGAAUCUUCCGCAAUGGGCGAAAGCCUGACGGAGCAACGUCGCGUGAGUGAUGAAGGUCUUCGGAUCGUAAAACUCUGUUAUAAGUGAAGAACAAAUGUGUAAGUAACUAUGCACGUAUUGACGGUACCUAAUCAGAAAGCCACGGCUAACUACGUG
rnacentral:rRNA from 1 species